rnacentral:rRNA from 1 species
AGAGUUUGAUCAUGGCUCAGAACGAACGCUGGCGGCAGGCUUAACACAUGCAAGUCGAACGCAUCCUUCGGGGUGAGUGGCAGACGGGUGAGUAACACGUGGGAACGUACCUUUCGGUUCGGGAUAACCCAGGGAAACUUGGGCUAAUACCGGAUACGUCCUUAGGGAGAAAGAUUUAUUGCCGAGAGAUCGGCCCGCGUCUGAUUAGCUAGUUGGUGAGGUAAAGGCUCACCAAGGCGACGAUCAGUAGCUGGUCUGAGAGGAUGAUCAGCCACACUGGGACUGAGACACGGCCCAGACUCCUACGGGAGGCAGCAGUGGGGAAUAUUGGACAAUGGGCGCAAGCCUGAUCCAGCCAUGCCGCGUGAGUGAUGAAGGCCUUAGGGUUGUAAAGCUCUUUCGGCGGGGACGAUAAUGACGGUACCCGCAGAAGAAGCCCCGGCUAACUUCGUGCCAGCAGCCGCGGUAAUACGAAGGGGGCUAGCGUUGUUCGGAAUCACUGGGCGUAAAGGGCGCGUAGGCGGCUUUAUAAGUCGGGGGUGAAAGCCUGUGGCUCAACCACAGAAUUGCCUUCGAUACUGUAUGGCUUGAGACCGGAAGAGGUAAGUGGAACUGCGAGUGUAGAGGUGAAAUUCGUAGAUAUUCGCAAGAACACCAGUGGCGAAGGCGGCUUACUGGUCCGGUUCUGACGCUGAGGCGCGAAAGCGUGGGGAGCAAACAGGAUUAGAUACCCUAGUAGUCC